rnacentral:rRNA from 1 species
UACGAAGGGGGCUAGCGUUGCUCGGAAUUACUGGGCGUAAAGGGCGCGUAGGCGGCACUGUUAGUCAGGCGUGAAAGUCCUGGGCUCAACCUGGGAACUGCGCUUGAUACGGCAGAGCUAGAGGAUGGAAGAGGGUCGCGGAAUUCCCAGUGUAGAGGUGAAAUUCGUAGAUAUUGGGAAGAACACCGGUGGCGAAGGCGGCGACCUGGUCCAUUACUGACGCUGAGGCGCGACAGCGUGGGGGAGCAACAGG